UGACUAGAUGCAUACUCAUCA
rnacentral:miRNA from 1 species